rnacentral:lncRNA from 1 species
UCAUAGGGCCCCAAAGCUGGAAGAGGUCAUUGCUCUUCUUUAAGAGCCCCAGUAACAGAAUAGAAAAUACCCAUCACCUCUGUUGAAUAUUUUCUUGAACAUUCUUUCUCUAACCUCUUUCUCCAACACUACUGUAAUCUCUUCAGUCCAUAAACACUCACGAGUCAAUGGUCUUAGCAUUCUUGUAAAACAUCAAUUGGCCAUAGUCGUAUGAGUGUAUUUCUGGAAUCUGAAUUAUAUUCCAUUGGUUUAUAUGUCUAUUCUUACGCAAGCAGCACACUGGUUUUUGUAAUUUAUUUUCAAUUUACAAAUAAUAGUUGUGCAUAUUUAUGGGGUACAAUGUGAUGUUUUGAUCUGUGUAUACACUGUGAAAAGAUUCAAUCAAGCUAAUUAACAUAUCUAUCACCUCAACUUAUAUUUUGUGGUGAGGACAUUAAAAAUCUAUUCUUUCAGCAAUCUGAAAUAGAUAAUACGUCAUUAUUAACUGUGGUCACCAUGCAGAGCA